AAGGAAACGGCGCCACGUGUCCAUGUUCAGCGCUUCAUUAAGUCUCCGCGUGAUGGGCUUCAAUCGUUUGACGUUAUUAGGGUUUUGGACUUUGUCAUUUUUCCAGGCCGACGAGCCUUCCGCCCUAAUCUUCUCCUUUACGCCGUCUCAUCUUCAGGGUUCAUCCUCUCUCUACGAUCUAUCGCGACGUCUGAUCUUCAUCUUCAUCACCUAAGCGGUUCCUGUUACGGAUUCUUCAUAUUGAAUCCCUUAUUAAUUCAAUCAACACCGAUAUAGUCUUGAAUGCAAGAUGUUCUUCAGCUAGGCGGUUUGUCAGGGAAUAUAAAAAGGAUCCUUGAUAGUCUCCGUUUUCCUUCUUCGCCUUCACCAUCAAUCAUUGCAGCUCCUCUGGCCGAUUGAGAAACUCGAGUUGGUCUUAUAGAGGAGCAGUUGGGGUUUCUUCAGUUGGUUCAAAGUAUAUGGCUGCUUCAAUCUCAACAAGUCUCAUUCUCACUGUUAGAUCCUAGGCAGUAUUAGUAUGCAGCAGCGUGUUAUACUUCGGCUUGAUCUGCAAAGAAGUAGCAAAGGUCGUUCCUGCUCAGACCUUGGCUGAUCAAGAACUGACGGAGACCAUGCAGAAGCUUCUCAUUGUAAUGCAAAGACUAGAUGACAAGAUUGGUCUAAUGCUUGAAUCAGACGGCGAGCUCUUCAACAAAAGGUUUCUCUUAAAAAGGGGCAAACUACGCAAGUAUCUAUGAUACCUCUUCUUUGUGACUCAUAGUUUUUGGGACAAAAGAUACUUGAUGAGACAAAUCGAAAAGUAUAUCCGCUGACAUAUACACAUCAAGAGUAUCCAACUUCCUCAACUACACACCCUUCAUGUAUUUCCGCUCACAGGAGCAGGUCAAAAAGCUUGGGAGAGUUCCAUUGAUAAACUGUGCUAAAACCAGCAUGUCCUCCAAACUGAUAUCUGGUGACAGGGACUUCUUUGCCAAUUUGGUUGUGGAUGCUGUUCUAUCAGUGAAGAUGACAAAUCAGCGAGGGGAGAUAAAGUACCCUAUCAAGGGGAUCAAUAUUCUGAAAGCUCAUGGACAAAGUGCGCGAGACAGCUAUUUGUUGAAAGGAUAUGCGCUCAAUACUGGCAGCGCUGCCCAGGGAUGCCAUUAAGAGUGUCUCCAGCCAAGAUUGCUUGCCUUGACUUCAAUCUUCAGAAGACAAAAAUGCAGCUGGGUGUCCAAGUUGUUGUUAACGAUCCACGAGAACUUGAAAAAAUCCGUCAAAAGUAUUUUUUUUUUACUGUUUUCCUUCAUCUGCAAUUGGUUUGUUAAGCUCUGGCUCAAACUUGAUGUAAUCUUUUAUACAAAUAAGUAUGGAUAGAGGUGUAAUAGUAGAAAUUCUGAAGCUCAAAGCCUCUGUUUUUGUAUAAAUGUGUAAUAUUCAUAUUCUCUGAACUAAGUUGAAGCUGGCCUUGGACUGCUUUGAUUU